ensembl:lncRNA
AUGGGAUACUGGGCCUAUUUGGUAAACUGCUCUCAGUGUCUGAUACUGGAUCAUGGCUACUGGACAUCAGAGAGUGAGAAAGAGCUGAAGGACAUUCUGAUGGUCAGAUUGAGCAGUUUGCUUUUAAAGAGUCUGGAUCAGAUUGGAUCUUGCAGAGCACUGCGAAUUUGCUUCUUGGCUGACAACUUUCUGACGAGGAUCGACGCUCUGAUGGAAUGCACUCGCUUGGUGAAGUUGGAUCUGAAAGGAAAUCAGAUUGUUCAGCUCCCUGAUGCUUCGUGUUGGAGUCAUCUGAAAGAAUUGCAACUUCUAUAUCUACACGACAACAACAUGUCAACUUGGAACAAUAUUAAAGGCCUGUCUGGCUGUUUAAACCUGACUGCUUUGACUCUCUAUGACACCCCGCUCAGUUUAAAGAAGAGUUACAGACACUGUCUGGUCAACAGUAUAUGGUCACUGAAGGCCUUGGACAACUUUGUUAUCUCUGAUGAGGAAAUCAUUCAAAACUGGUCUCUUCCUAUUCGAUUCAAAGCCAUGAAUCAACACUUUUGUGUCAGUUUGUACCCAUCUUUAAAGUCGGAUUCAUUUGAGACAGAGAUGAAAGCGGCAUAUAAAAUAAUUUCAGAGAUAAACAGGAUUCAGGCUGUUUAUUGCCCUACACUUAUUAUACAGCGCUGGAUUCGAGGUCAUUUAAUUAGAAAAAGCCUUGGGCUUUGCAGUACAAGGAAACAGAUAACGUCUGAGAAACCAUUCAUUUCCAUGCCUUUGAGCACAGAAAAUGACCAGGUACAAUCCCAGUCUCAGAAAACCACGGAGGAAGACACAGAUGACCACCCGGAACAAGAAAAUGAAGAGAGAAAUAAAGAGAUCCAAAGACUUCAUGUGAACCUUGAUAAGCUGAUGCAAACUGGCUAUGCAGAGGUUAUACAGGAUGCUGCAAGUAUUAAAUCAAAUGACCGUCAACAAGACAUAAAAGCACCAUGCAACACCCCUCAGUGCAGUCCAAGUCUGAAAUCUAAGGCCCAUCUAAACACACUUGACCAAGAUAUCAGUGUGACUGUUGAUCUCUGUAAUGAAGAAACUGAAGAAGGAACCUUUCGUGUUUUGGGACUAAAAGCUUUGGUCCACCAGAGUGAGCCACUGAGUGAUAUGUUGUGGUCCCGUAAAGCUGCAGGACAGGACGUACGUGAGGCCAUCAGCCAUUUUCACACUCAGAGACCGGAUCCACCGCCCCACUCUUCUGCCAUUAUUUCAGGGAAGCGUCUGAUUGGUUGUUGCCAUGACAAAAUCAGCCUCACCCCCUUCAAAGUCAUUGAAAGAGUCCAUCAAGCAUUUGAUAAAGCCAAAAUGCAGAAACACCUUGCAGAGAAGGUAACUGAGCGCCAGAUUGACCGUGAAGUAGCCAAGGGUCACAGAGACAUCUUUAGAGAAGCUUACAGGACAGAAGUACGUCUGCGGCAGGAGCGGGAAAGGGUGGAUAUGGAGAAAACUCUUACUCUACAGAGAGCCAAACUGGAGCAGGACAUCCAUCAUGCACGUCAGAAACAUGCCCAGUUUUUGGAAGAGAAGAGGAUGAGGAUCCAGGAGCAAGAGAUGGUUUGCAGUUUCAGCCAACAGCACAACUCUCUAGCGAGGGCCAUGCUUAGAUACCACACAUGGAAACGUGGUAACCAGCAAUAA